ensembl:rRNA 5S_rRNA 5S ribosomal RNA
CUCAAUCAUGCCAUCCUGAACAUGCCCAAUCUUGUCUGAUCUUGAAGGUUAAGCAGGGUCAGGCCUGAUUAGUACUUGAAUGGGAAACUAUAUUAAAUUUUAUAUCAAGGUAAUUGCGGAAA